rnacentral:lncRNA from 10 species
GUAAACUUUCAUAAACCAACCACAGCCAUAGCAUCAGCACUCAAAUGGAGAAACCAAAAGCGGCAGCACCCUGGGAGCUCCCGGAGCGCUUCUGCUGUCGGACUCCUCCCCGGUAACACAUACAGUGUGUCUAACAUAUAUUGGUUUUGCCAGCUUUGUACAUUAGCUAAAUUGAGUGUCACAGUAUGUGUUUAUAUCUGGUUUCUUUCCUUCAACGUCAUGUUUGUGAAAUUUAUUCACACGGUUGUGUGCAGCUAUGUUGUUCCUGCUCACAGCAGUUUUGUGCCCUUGGGUGAAAACACCACAUUUUCUAUUGGAGGCUGCAUAGCUGUCUGAAGUUGCACGUGAGUGUGGGACCCAGCACAGGAGGCCCAACUGGACUCCUGCCCAGUGCUCAUGUCACUACCUCACACUACCCACCUUCAACAUUAAGUUCUACAUGCUAUGCUGUGCAUACCUGUCACAUUCCCUUGAAUUAGGACGGAAGCUGGAUUCACCCCAUGUGCAGAGUGGGGUUAAUAAAAGCAAGUUUUGGCAAUAUACUCCUUCCAUGGCACAUAAACUUCAAGUCACAAAUCUGGAUGUGCAUAAAGGUGUUAACACCAAGAGUUGGGGUAAUAUUUCAUCUGCUCUGAAUGCAAUCUCUAUUUCUGGAUGUAUUCAUUUGGCAGGGAGUUCUGCCACUUAAGAGCUAGAGUCGAUUCUCCAGGGAGGCAAGGGGAUUUUUUUCCUGGAGAGCCAUCUUGAGACUGAGAAUACAUCAACGAACUCUGCUCUUAGCAGUACAGGUCAAGUGUUGGAGGCAGUGGAGGUCAAUGUCUUGCUGAGCCAAUGUGAGCCUUCUGUGGGGCCUGGCAAAGCUAGACAUUCCCUCUCUGCAGCUCUGCAACCUUUCUUCCCCCAUAACGUGCCUCUCACAUCCCGUCCCCAAGGAGCCACUUAUUCCCAUGACAGGUUUAUGGUCUAGUUGAACCAGCUGCCCCUCUGGCCAUGUGCACAGUUAGAGAGGCAGGGGCCUCUAGUCAUUCUCUCUCCCUCUGCCCUGGCGUCAGCCACAAAUUCCAGCAGGCUCAUUAAAGUGUCCACCUGUCUGAGCACCUCAUCAGAAGGAUUCAAUGGCUGCAGAACCUCGCUGCUCCCUCCACCUGGAGCGGGGCUGACCCUGCAGUGGCGCGUUUGGCCUGAGCCCCUUUCGUUUUUACCCUCAGGAAGCUUGGGGGCUGCGCAGGCCAGGGCUCUGCCUGGGCUCUGAAUGCUGGAGAGAAGGAGGAGAGAGGAAGUGGGAGAGGAUGUAGUAGUUUCCCCUGUCUACUUUCUCUACCUUCUUUUCUCCUCUACCCUCCCUUUCCAAGCUCAACUUCCUUGACAGUAUUAAGGAAAUACCUUUUUUAGUUACCAAAAUAAGUUGCUCUGUGGAGAAUUUCUGAUGAUCUCAUGGUGAUUUUCCUGCACCCGGAAGACACUUUGCUUUGCUUUGGGACCAUGGAUAUUCCUUGGGGCAGCCACCAAGGAUGAAUAAGGUUUGAAUGGGGAGGCACUGGCCUCGGAGCUCCUUGCUGCUGACAUCAGUUGUGCCCUUGUAGGAGACGUCCUGGUCCUGUCUGCCUCAGAGGCUUCCAUCUGCGGAUUUCCUGAGGUCGUCCCCUUACUCCUCUGCUGCAGUCUCUCUCAACAUUUCAACUGUCUGCUCCAGAAAGUUACUCUGUCACUAAGUAAAAUAAAUACAAACAAAAUAAGCAAUAAUCUACCCCCUUCCUUUCUCCUCUGGUCCCCUCUCUGUCUGCCUGUCACCCCCUCCUCAAUGAGAACGUGGAUCCCUCGUGGCAUUUCUCUGGAGGGAUGGCCCAGGCUUUCCCAGCCCAUGCACUCUCAGCCAGAUCAUUUGCCUGCGGUCCCAUGGCCGUCUCCAAAAUGUGCUCUCCUCCAAAGACUAGUUUUGCUGAUUGUCUUUGUUGCAAACUGUUUUUCUCCACACUACGCAAUUGGCAUUGCCUUUUUCAAAGUAUAUAUUUGUUUUUAUUUGCCAAAUCCACUUGAAUAUACUCAGCUUUACUAUGGAGUUUGAAGCCUGUGACUGUAUCCAAUUUAUGAAAUGUUGUCUCUCUUCCCCGUCCUGUGUGAUGUUGCUUUCUCCGUAAUUUCCAGUGCUUUUUCCCGAUGCAUCCCCCCAGGUCUCUUUUGUUCCAUUCUGCAUUCUCCGUGAGUGUUCUCCUCCAAAACCUCAGGUGCAGUCACCACCAAUGCCCCACUAUCUCCUGAAUCAUAAUCUAUAGCCUCAAAGCUUUUUGUAAACUCCAGUAGCCUGCUGCUCAUCUCCAGAUGGAUGCUCUGCAGAAAACCUAAAUGCAAGUUAUCUGAGAUGGGAUUAUUGUUCCUCUCGGUUUCCAACUGUAAGCACAUUAUGCCCCGUCUCCAGCAUAUGCCCCCACCUUGGCCCUGUGUCUCACCUCCCAUC